CAAUCCAUCAGACGUGGCAGCCUAGGACUACUGUUGUUAUUUCAUAACAGUUUUUAAUGAAAUUCCAUCACUUGGCAGGAGGUAGUUCUGGAUGAUACUGGACUAAAUCUUUCAUCUCAAGAAUCCCACCAUCCAGAAUGUGGCAGAAGGGGAGCCAUGUCACUUUCAAGGCUGAAUCACAAAGGGCUUCCACCUGAUCCUCUUGGAACCCUCAUUUUUGGAACAUUCCCUCUGUGAGAAGCCACAUGGAGAGGCCUCAUGCAGGUGCUUCAACUGACAGACUUGUUGAGGUCAUCCGAGUGCCGACCGACCCAGGACAUCUAUAUGUCGUAAGAAUGCAAGAAAAGGUUCUCACAUAUGCGCGAGUCCAGAAAGUUUUUCCUUUACAAUCUCUCUUGAUCCCUGCGUGCCCAGCUGAAGGACAAG